GAUGAACGCUCGCUACAGGCUUAACACAUGCAAGUCGAGGGGAAACGGCAUUAAGUGCUUGCACUUUUUGGACGUCGACCGGCGCACGGGUGAGUAACGCGUAUCCAACCUUCCCAUGACUAAGGGAUAACCUGCCGAAAGGCAGACUAAUACCUUAUGGUCUUCACUGACGGCAUCAGAUGUGAAGUAAAGAUUUAUCGGUUAUGGAUGGGGAUGCGUCUGAUUAGCUUGUUGGCGGGGUAACGGCCCACCAAGGCAACGAUCAGUAGGGGUUCUGAGAGGAAGGUCCCCCACAUUGGAACUGAGACACGGUCCAAACUCCUACGGGAGGCAGCAGUGAGGAAUAGUGGUCAAUGGGCGAGAGCCUGAACCAGCCAAGUAGCGUGCAGGAUGACGGCCCUAUGGGUUGUAAACUGCUUUUGUAUGGGGAUAAAGUCAAUCACGUGUGAUUGUUUGCAGGUACCAUACGAAUAAGGACCGGCUAAUUCCGUG
rnacentral:rRNA from 1 species